GACCAGUGUGGCAUAGUGGUUUGAGCAUUUAACUACGAAUCUGGAGACCAGGGUUUGAUUCCCUGCUUGGCCA